UUGCGGUGUCGAAAGUCGUCGCGUAAGGACCUGUCAAUUUUCGUUGUUCGCGAUUUAUUAAUUAACUGCGUAGUAUCUUCACUUAUAUUCCGCUGCCUUCGUACGCUAUUAUUAGGUUGCUCAACCAUAGCGGGACGAUAACUGGGAAUUCAAAAUAGCGUCGUUUGGACGCCAUGAUGAUUAACAGUCAAUUUGUCAGCUUCUCAUGGAGAUUGAGUUAGUUUAUUUUUUUAUAUAUUCGUUUUCGGUAUUCGAGUCAGUGCUCAAGAGGAUAAACCCUCUCUUGGAGACUGGCAAUCUUUUUCACGAUCUGCAGCACUUCCUCUUGUUCUCUGGAUAGGAUCUUAUGGCGCUUCAAAAGCUAGAAAUAUAUUUCACAACCUGUACUUCUACUGUAAGGUUUGAUGAUUCUUCCGGGAUGACGGCCUUCACGGUGGUUUCCUCUGAGCUACGUCAACAUUGUCGACAUCGUUCUUCGUAUGUAACUGAAUCAUCAUGAAAUCACCGGAAGAAGAUUUAUAUCCCAUAUAAUAUUCCCUCCUUCUUCCCUUAUUAUACCAAUUAAAUCUUUAGAUAGAUAGGAUCCAUGAACAGAUUGUUAGGUCUUUAGUUAGGUUGGAUCCAUAAAUUUUUAAAUUCUUAUAUAGUCAGGUUAACUUAAAUUUACAAUUAGACAAGAUGUGUCUUUAAAUUGAAUAAAGGUUAUGACUACGAUGAUUAGAAAGUUAGGCUAUUCUUAAGUCUGGCCAGGUUUAUCAUUAUAGGUUGUAGGUAGUUAGUAGAAAAGUAAUGGUAGAAAGUACUGCUUCCUAGUAUUGUUAGCGCUUACUUAUGUAAGUGUGCUAAUAUUUAAUACAUGUAUCAUUAAUCCUCAAUUGGUGAAGAUCGUAUUUAACCGCUAACAAUUUAACAUAUUGACCAUUUAUUUGUAUUGCGUAUUUUACAUAAUAAAACAUCCUUAUCACGUAAAAUGCAGAAUAUACAUUGAAAUAAAAUUUUCUAAAAUCAAACAAUUUUAUUCUAACCUAUUCCGAAUCACUUCCAACCCAACGAUACCAAUUGAGGACUAAAAGUAAUAAGGUGGAUACGUAGAAAAUGGGUAAUUCAUAAAUAAAAAGUGUAAUACUUUAUGGGAUAUAUUUUAUUUAUUUUCUUUUAUUUUAAUUAUUAAUUAUCUACAUUUUCAUGCCAAUGUGAGUCAAUCGAACUUUCAUCGUCAUGAAAAUGUACAAUAUUUGAUAUGAUCACGAAAUAGCGUCUCAUAUUGAAUUACACAGCUGGUUUAAGAUUUAAUUUAUUUUUAUUUUCAAGAUUAGCAUUAGCAAAAAGAAUUGAUCGUUUUGCAAUCGCACACUAAGAGGAGAAUUUUUUUAUAAACUGAUAUUUUAAACAAAUAAAUUUUUGUGCAUGAGAGGAGGGUGGAUGGGAUCGUGGAUAGGGUGGCUCUCCACUCGCAACAACCUCGGUAUUAUUUCAUAUAUAAUUACUAAUCGCAUUACUAUACGUGGUACAAUUAUUAAUUAUAUAAAAAAUAAUACGAGCUGAUUGGCUGUGAUUCUUGUUGUAUGUAGUUCAAAAAGUCGACUAGGGUCCAUAAUUCCGUAAAUGCGUGUCAUUUUAAUUCCGACCAUUACUAGUGUUAUAGCACAGACGAGUGUGUACUUUUACAUACAUAUGUGUAUGUUAAUUUGCUAACUGAUCCCUCUGACUCUAAGUUAGAAAAAAUUAGAUUAACUGCAACGUUCUUGACAUAUAAUGCAAAAAUAUGGCAUGAAAGCUUAUUCAACGCGGACAUUACAUAAAGAACAAUGAAAUCCUUUUAACAAUGAGAUUACUUGACACGUGAGUAGUUACGGAGUGUGUCUACCUAUAUAUAGUUUAGUAGUAUUAAAAUUUCGUUUCAAUUUUAACCACUAUGGUUACCACAUUUUUGGAAAUUAAUUUAAUCUCACGGACAAUUUUGUGAUAAAUGUUACUAGCUAUCGUAUUAUAGUUUCAUAAAUUACUGAUAACAAGGAUAAGGAACACCAGAUUGGUUAACGUAUUUUACUAGCUCUUUAUUAGUGACGCGUACAAUACACGUGUUAAACAUAUUUAUCAUAACGAAGAUAAUUACAAUUAGAAACCGCACAAAAUGUUUCGUAUCAAACCGAUAUAAAUAACAUUUCACAAUAUAUUCCCGUAUUUCAAAUUUACUCGAUUGGUUAUUUCAAGCAGUUUUAUUUUCAUCGACGAACUGUACUCAUAGAAAAUGUUCAAUAAAAAUCUUUUACUGCUUGAAAAUUUUCCAUAUCCUUUUAAAAACUGGUUAAUAAAAUUUGUACGAUUCGUCCUCUAGAAAUUUUUAAUUGAUGCCGAUGUUCUCGACGAUUUUCUGAAUAAAACGUUCCGUUAAAGGCGACAUAUAAAAUCUUAAUAUACAAAAUUCCAAAUUGAUAUAUCGAGGUUAUCCAACGUGUGAAAGGGAUAUGCUAAAAUCGAUACCAGAACUUGCAACUAUAUCCAUAAUUGUAUAUACUAUUACAAAUAUCAAUUCACAAUAGAGGUUGUUCCAUUUCCUUUAGAUACUAUGUCUUUUAUACAAGCAAUAACAUCAUACAAAUAUGGUAUAUCAAUUCUAUGAAAAACAAUGUCUUCCAGAGGCAUUUUUGUGAUACAAUAGUUCAGCUGGUCGCAGUAACAAUUAUAUGUAUAUCGCAUAAAUAAGACGAAGAUGUAUAGUUUCCUUUACCUCAAACAUCGAUUAUUAUCAUCUGCGGUAAAUACAUUCUUCGGGUUUAAUUGACGGUCGGUAAAUACUAGGGUUAUAAUUAUAGGUUGUUACACGAGUUGUAAUCACAUUUAGAUCAGAUAGCAGAGGACAAUACAAUGAUACAAUUCUAGAUAACUUUGAUAGUCUUCUUUGAUCCAGUAUCUAGCUGUGAUUAUUCAUUUCUAUAGAAGAGUACAGAAAGCGUAGUGAUAUAUCAAGCGAAUGUUCAUCCUGUUAGGCUGAGUCCACACUGCUGUUCGCAAGUAGCUCGCGUAGACCCAGCAUUAUUUCUAUCCUUAGUGUUAUGUAUUGAAAUUAGAACCUUACGAAUGAAUUAUUUCAUGUUAGAAGGUACAUACAUAAUAAACAUCGAAAAGGACUACAAGUGCACUUGCCCAUAUCAUAUCUUAUAAUUGAUACUGAUAAUUCAAAUAUUAAAAAACAACGAUACGUUCUUUACAAUAAUUCUGGCAGUGAACAGCUCUUACAAGAAGUAUUCUACUUAUUACAAGUCGUAUAAAUGUAUCUGUACAAUUUUAAACAAUUCUCGAAAUAAAUAGUCUUAUAUCCGAGUUUCGCUGCUUUCACAGUUAUAUUCGCUACAGAGUCACAUUCACAUAUAUAUCGAUUUUUCCUCACGAAUGUGCCAUAUCUGUUUUACGCUUACUACAUGUACAAUAAUGAUAAAUAAACGCGCUUUUUAUAAAUCCCUUAAAAGUUAACCUAUAGAUGAAACUGUUUCCUCUCAUGGUGGAAGAUCACAGGAAAAAACGUGAUAAGUCUAUUCGUGUCGAUUUUCAAAUUUUGAUGCUACUUUACGGUUAGAAGGGGAUUCACAUAGUUCUGAAGAAGAUUUGUUAAAUCCAAAGAUACAACUCUUUUCCAAAUAGCCAAUAAA